UGUGAAGUUUGUACUUCAAUAACAAUUUUCUAAAUAAAAACAAAAGAUACUAUGACAUUGUCUUAGUCUGGAGUUGCUUUUUGAACAAUGUUAGGUAUAAUAAUCUAAUAUUGAUCAUUGUUAAGAGUAAUUGAGGGAAUAGGAAUAUCGGCCAAUUCCCCUAGGAAUCGAGCAAACGGUCCUGGAUGUUGUUCACCUAAUUCACCAGAUUUACCAUAGUAUUUACC
rnacentral:lncRNA from 1 species